GGCCGUCAGAAGGACUGAGUAGAUUAAUCCUGAGAAGUGCUCAGAACCAUGCCUGGCACAUAGUGGGAAUUCAGAGGCUGAGGCUGAGGCUGAUGAAGGCUGUGGGAAUAAUGGGAGCUAGAGAAAGGGGUCUCUGCAUCUUCACCUUUGCACAUCUGGUGUGUGUGCUCCUGCACCAAUGGAAGACAUGCGGGCAUGGCUGCCCCUGCCCAGGCAGCCAACUGGCUCAGUCCCUCAGCCCUGCCAGGCCAUUGAAUAAUUAAGCUGGCUGAGGGGUGACAGGGCUGGAAAGCCAAAAGUGACCAGGGUCUGGCCUUGCUUGGCUUUGGUGACGCGAUGGCCCUGGGAUCAUGGCCUUCUUGAACCCAUAAACAGGGGGUUGGGCCCCAAGACAGGCAAGGCCAGGCCAAGGUCUGUGCUGGUGGCCUCAAGCUGAAGUCAAGUAUGGACAGGAAGGGGGGUGCUCCAAGGCUACAGGAAAGGGAGUGCUAUGGAGCGAGAGUUUCUGUCCAUCGGCGCAACCCCCAUCCACUCGCACUCUGGAAUUCCAUUUCUUUCUUCCCAGUCCUCUCUCAAUUUUCACCUCCAAUUUAUUGAGCACUUAUUGCAUGCAGGACUCUGCCAAAGUACUUUACACAGAUCUGGUUCCUGCCCCCGCUCUCGCAUGAUGGGAAGUUCUGUCCCCUCCCGGAAUGAGCGAAGCCCUGUUACUUGGACUCCCAUCGCACCAGCAGCAAGACGGUGAUUAUCGCGCUGAUGCAGCCCUUCCUGACGCCAGGCGCUGAUCUUCGCACGUGUUGAUGCAUCGAUUCCUCAGA
rnacentral:lncRNA from 1 species